AUGGUACUGAAUGGUGCCCUAUGAGUCAUGAUAUUUUUGUGUGAAACAUCAGACUUCUUACGAUUCGCUUUAGAUGAUAACAUGAUCUUAUUGUUUACUGUAGUCCUUUUGGCAGGUAAUGUGAUGCAGGUUGUGAGGCCAUAGAAAAUCUAUUGUUAGGUUUUUUAGAGUUUUGAAGUAGGAGCUGUGAUCAGUUUUCAAGUAAAUGCUUCUUAAUAUAAAAGUUGGUAAUCUGGCCAUGGGUAUAGAGCUUGUAGCUGAAUAUAGAAUAAUGGUGUGGUGGAGCUGGUGUUUAUGUUCAGUUACCAACUCUAAUAUCAUAAUCUUAAUACCCAUGAGUGAAACAAAGUUCAUUGAUUACAGGAUGUUGAUAGUUCUCACAAAAUAAUUUAUAGGCUUCGUGGAAUGGAGGAUUCGAACUCGCAAUCUUCAGGUCAUGAUGGGGUUGAUGAGUUGAUCAAUCCUCUAUCCCGUGCCUUCCCCCUUCCCUUUCUUUCAUUAGUUCUACUCAGGUCUACCCCUUACCUCUCCUACAUUACUCUUGCAUGGUCGGGAUACACAGCUGAACUUCCGAAAUUAGCGUCUUUUUGUUAAGUAACACUAGUUUUGCAUUGAUAAAUUUUGGGUCAGCAGAACAAGGGACUCAUGUUCUGCUUGCAUAUAUAGAAGUCAAUUGAACUUCCUUAUCGAAGGUCUUUCUAAAGCUGCUUUGCAAUCUCAUCCUUGGUUGUUGAACCUAAUGGAGGUUCAAUCCAUGGAUCCACUGUAAAAGUAAAACUUCGGAUAUGAUAGAUGGGAACUACUUGACGAUAGUUGCCGUUUUCUCAAGCAAGAUUUGUAAUCAUGUAUCUGUGUGCUUGUCCUAGCGAGUGAAGAUCAGAUGUGGAUGUUUUGAAUGAGCGGUGCCCAAGUGACCGCAACCCUUGUACAUGCCGGAAGUCACAUCCAGGGAGUUGGUUUUGCUCACAGUAUUGAAUAAAUGGUCACCCAAGUACUAUUACUUAAAUGUGCAAACGUUGUUAGAGUCUUGGCUUGUCUCCAUUGAAUAUUUCUGUUCUGGAUUUUGUCGGAGGGUUGUAUUCUGGGCUAGAAUGUUAGAUGUUGGAACGAAGUGAAAGCUGGUCUAUUGAAAAUUUUAUACAGUUGUGAUAAGAGCUUCAUACAUGAUUAGAAUA